rnacentral:lncRNA from 1 species
UUAGUUAUCUUUUCCUAUGCCAGUAACACGUCGUUUUGAUUACAGGCUGUGGUAGAGAUGACAACUUCUCAUCAGUAUCUGUCUUUCUCGUCUUCCUGGUGCACAGCUAGAAGACAUUUCUCAUUCCUCUUGCAUUUGGUAAGGCCACACGCUUAGUGACUACUCACCAAGGAAGUUUAGGAAAAGUGAGACUUCUCCAUCUUUUUGCCAGUUGCUGGAUGAAUGAAGACUUUCCGAAGGAAGGAAAGACCGCAAGAUAGGAGGAACACAGGUGGCACAAGGUCAGGCUACUCAGCAGAAGGUCUUAGAGGGAGACUCCUAGAGGAAGGGGCUUCUCAUCCUGGUUCUGGGGCCAUUUUUCCUAUUGAUUCUAGCAGAAUGUGGCAGCAAACAGCAGCCCGGACUCCUAGAGGCACUCAUCCUCCAGCAAGUUUCCCUGGCUCUCCAGCGCGCAGCCUCUCACAUAUCCCUGACUGACCUGACCGCUGGAAAGGAGCCUCCGGCCCCCACAGCCUGUUACAAGAGUAUGAACUAACCGUGUUCAGCCGCUAAAAUUUGGGGCUGCUACUUAAAGUAUAUAUCCCACAGUGAUAUAACUGAUCUAAUAAAAUCCUAUGCUGUGGAGGCAAGUGAUAAAAUUAUUGCUGAAGAGUUCCCACUAGACUUGAAAAGGCAAUUAACCAGAUAUCACAGUUUGAUAGGCCCAGAUUAUAGACAGCCCUGAGCGUCAGGCUGUGCAUUCGAUUCUCCAGGUAGUGGACACUCAACAGCUGAGUGACCUGGUCAAAGCGUCACUUUAGAGAGAGACUGGCAAAAUGGAUGGCAGAGAUUGAAGUGUGAAUUUAAGGUAGUGAGCCAUUUAGAAGCUGCUUGGGAGUGAUCUUUUUUGGAUUUCAGAAAAUGAAGGAGACAGAGGGAGAGCUUCAGAAAUGUUGCACCAAAGUCAAUCCAGAACCUUGCCUUCCUUUGUAGUUGUUUCAUUACAUUUAAAUGCAGCAAGAAUGUCACCAUCAACUUUUCACAGGUUAACUUCAUCUCACAACUUCUAGCCCAGAUUUCAAGUUUGGUCCCAACCUUGCGUGAAUAUCUAAGAACAAGCUAAUUGAAUUAAAAAAGAAAAAGAAUUUAUUCUUUUAUAUAAUAAUGACAAUUGC